rnacentral:misc_RNA from 1 species
UAAUAAGUGUUUUAUGGCACUUUUUAAAUCCAUAUCCACCUUGUGUGCAAUGUCAGUCGAUCUUCUUCAUGGAGAUCGACCAAACAUCAACCCUUAUUUUUUAACUCUUUGUCUGAAAAAUAUUAUGAAUAAACAAUUCAAAAUA